UGGACCCAAAGUCGAGCAGUGAGGUGAUUGUGAUAGGGGAAGCGAGGAAGAGGGCACUGUGAGCAUAAAGGAAUGAUGCACCACCGUGAUGUCAGACGGUUGUGGGUAGACCCAAUGUAUACAGAUGGAUUUGCUAGACGGGAUGUGACAUGACAUGGUUGUUGUGUGGUCAGGUUCCAUGGGAUACGACAUGACACAAGAUAAGACAUGACACCGGAUAUAACCGACGUGUGGGUCUAUAUGGUUGUUGCUGGCGGGGCACUCCACAGAGUCAGAGCUCCCUUGCGUGGCUUAGUGGUGGCAAACUUCUUACCAUGGAUAANNNNNNNNNNAUAUGGUUGUUGUUGGCGGGGCACUCCACAGAGUCUGAGCUCCCUUGCGUGGAUUAGUGGUGGCAAACUUCUUACCAUGGAUAAGGCGUCAUUACAAGGACNNNNNNNNNNGAGGUUCCAUGGGAUACGACAUGACAAGAGAUAUAACCGGCUUGUGGGUGUGUAUGGUUGUCGCUGGCAGGGCACUCUGCUAUGUGUGGUGCAACAUAGUCUGAGCUCCCUUGUGUGGCGCAACAUAGUCUGAGCUCCCUUGUGUGGCUUAGUGGUGGCAAACUUCUUACCAUGGAUAAGGCGUCAUUACAAGGACACAAAAUAUAUCCAUUUGUGUCGAGAGAAAUCAUCUUUGAAGAUAAUAUAGCAACGAUGACUCCUUUCGAGGGAAGGAAGCCGAACCACAAACAUUAGAGUGAGGAAGAUUGAAAGGACGCUGAGAAAGUCUUGCUAUGAGCAUAGGGUAACUGGUGGGUUGUGAGCUUGGCUAAAUGGCGUUGAGUAUGGAAGUUUGUUCAAGUGUGAGUCGGUAUCAAUCUGAAAAAAAACUUUAG
rnacentral:lncRNA from 1 species